CCUACGGGAGGCAGCAGUGGGGAAUAUUGGACAAUGGGCGCAAGCCUGAUCCAGCAAUGCCGCGUGGGUGAAGACGGCCUGCGGGUUGUAAAGCCCUUUGGGCGGGGAGGAACGGCGUCGCGCGAACAGGGCGGCGCCCUGACGUUACCCGCGAAACAAGCACCGGCUAACUCCGUGCCAGCAGCCGCGGUAAU
rnacentral:rRNA from 1 species